rnacentral:rRNA from 1 species
GACGAACGCUGGCGGCGUGCUUAACACAUGCAAGUCGAACGAGACGAUUGGAAGCUUGCUCUUAAAAGUCGAGUGGCGAACGGGUGAGUAACGCGUAGACAACCUGCCUUUGAGAUGGGGACAACAGUUCGAAAGGACUGCUAAUACCGAAUGUUGUAUAUUUUCCACAUGGAAGAUAUAUUAAAGAUGGCCUCUAUUUAUAAGCUAUCGCUCAAAGAUGGGUCUGCGUCUGAUUAGCUGGUUGGUGGGGUAACGGCCUACCAAGGCGACGAUCAGUAGCCGGUCGGAGAGGAUGAACGGCCACAUUGGGACUGAGACACGGCCCAGACUCCUACGGGAGGCAGCAGUGGGGAAUCUUCCACAAUGGACGAAAGUCUGAUGGAGCAACGCCGCGUGAGUGAAGAAGGGUUUCGGCUCGUAAAGCUCUGUUGUCGGGGACGAAUGUGCAGUAUUUGAAUAAAGUACUGUAAUGACGGUACCUGACGAGGAAGCCACGGCUAACUACGUGCCAGCCGCCGCAGUAA